ensembl:lncRNA
CUCUGACCUAAUCCUGGGUGCCUUCCCAUGUGCAGUCGAAAACAGGAACCAGGUGUCUUCUGCUAUCACUUCUGAGAGGAAGCAAAGCAGCCAUGCUUGACUACUCAGUCGUUGGCAUCAUUGUGGUUCUCUCCUUCUGUCAUCCGCAACUUUCUGAGUCCUCCGUUCUCAGUGCGAAUGAGGAAACCAUCCAAGACAGGAACAUCGUAAUACGACGCGUGACUGCAAAUGUCAACUCUACAUCAGUGCGCUGCCCUGAUCUGCAAGAUGACGAGAACAUCACUGUUACGCUGUACAAAACGGCCGUGCUACACUCAACCUUCUUCAGCAGGAUUAAACCACGGAACGAGUCCUCCGAAAAGGAGAGGUUUCAAGUGUCUGUUAAUAAUAACACGGUCCGUUAUUUGAUAGGCUGGCCUCGAGCCAAUGAUACAGGCCUCUACAGCUGCAAUGUCCUCACUGGCCCAGAUAACAGAACAAGCAGGACAAACACCUUUCUAUUUGUUAAAGGUAUUGUGUUGUUACAUACCUUUAAUGGGCAGCAGAAAUACAAUGAGUGUAUAUUUGUAAAGGUGGCCCUAGUUUACACUAUAAUCUGGUUAUUGCUCCCUAGAUCCAGCUCCACAGGAAGGAAAGCCAGUGACAAGCAUGGUCCUGGUAGCAUGUUGCGGGCUGCUGGCUUUGUACAGCCUUAUUGUCACAAUUGUCAUGGGCUCUUUUGUUGUGAGUUGUCAUGCGCACCAAUACACGCAUAUACACAUGCUUGACAAGCCCUAAUACUGAAGUGUUUGCUAGCUCUUUACAAACCUCAAUAUAUAUGACAAAACUGUUUGUUUCACCAUUUGGAAAUAUUAUAAUAUAUGGGAUAGGCAACUCUACAAAGUUGUAAAAAAUGGUAUUUGUGUUUUGGAACUAGUGGAAACUCAAAUGUGUGGAGACACUUAAUCAAAGUGAUUACAUCAGCACACAGCCAGGAGAGUUCCAAAGAGUGAAAUGAGUUCAGCAUCCAGCCGCAGAUGCCAUCUGGCCACAACAGCACAUAACUGACCAAGUGACCAUGACAGUCUAUCCAUAAAACAGCAGUAAUCUAGAACUCUAUGUUUCAAAGACAACUGUCAGCUAUGUAUAAUCAGUGUGCUUAACUGAUUAAGAAACUAUAGUUAUGUUCUGGAUUCUUAUUUGCAAUCUUGUAACCAUUCAGUCUGCCAGAAUACUGUGUCAUUUGUAUUCUAUGUUGUAGUGUUGCAAGUGAGAUUCCCUAAGUAAUGCUCUGAUAUAUGUCAUCUGUGCAGCAUGUGGAUUUGUUGUUUAAGACAGUUGUUGAAUAAAGCAACAUCUGCUUCACAUUGCAUAUUUCUGUCAGAUGAAUUCAUUAACUAUUUUUAUCUCAGCAUAACAAAUUUUGUGCCAAUUAAUAUUAAUCAUCAAUAUCAAUAUCAAAAUAAAACCAAAAUAAAGCUGAU